CCUGGUGUCGCUGGUCCCCCGUGGGACGUCCCCGUGGCCUCGGCUGCGUCUGUGCACGGUGGGGUUUGGACCUGCUUAAGUGGGGACACUCUGGAAGUGUCUCUUGUUUGUCAGAGUAAAGAAUCUAUGUAACUUUCUAUUUGUAUUUAUCUCAAUAAAUCCGUGACUGUUUUAUAAACCAUCUUGUGGUGGGUGAGAUGUUUGUGUGUUCCUUGGGUUAAUGAAACAUCUUUCAGGUGUCUGACCAGGGCUGAAUGUGGAAUUUUUCAUACUGAGCUGUAAAAAAAAAAUCCAUUAGGUACCCAGAGUUGCAAAUUAGCUCUUCUUGCACUUUUUCCUCCAAGUGAGCAUGCCACAAGUGCUUCAACUCAUCCUGAUGGCUGGAAAACGCCUGCAUUAUUUUAAUUCAGCUGUCUGCCAUUUUACAUGUCACUUUCUCAACAAGAUGCUUAAUCCAGGUGGUUUUGUAUAGAUAGAAGAAACAACACAAAGAAUGCAUAAAAUCCUUUUCCUUGGUUAUCUCAAAACACCAUUAGAAGGCUGAGGUUGCCUGCUCUUGGGUGUUCCUGUGAGGCCAAGGGCCUUGGCUGUGUUAUGAGAAUCAGAGGCACAAACUGUUUGAUAUCCCUGUGUAUUAAAGGUUCUCCCUACCAGGUAUAAAGCAGGAAACAGAAGGAUGUGCCUCAAGAACAAAGGGUCUCCUUUCAAAUGGAAGCUGAGAAAACCACCGUGGAAGAUGCAGCCCAGCAUGGAAAUGGUUUUGCCGGAGGACCAGCAGCACGAGCACCUGAAAAUUGCUCCUGAGAGGCCUCUCAGCAACCCUGCAGAACUGAUGUUUGGGUUUAUUACCAAAAGAAAAGCUCUUCCUGAAAGGAAUGUGAUACAGGAUUGUUUCUCAGGUAGUCUGGGUUUAGGAGCUGUCUCUGGAAUUGAGGCCCAAGGUCUUGGCUGCCUCUUGUAGAGUCUGGGCUCACGUGGCCAGUGCUGGGUGUCCUCUUGCCCCAAAGCUCAGGUCAGCUUCCAGUACACUUAAGAGGAGGACUGCAAAAAGGAACAAUUUCUAGAUGAUUUUUAUAGCACUUAAUAGCUACAGAUGAAAGGAAAAGCCAAAAUAAUGUUCCCUCCAAGGGAUAGCUGAGAGUAAAUGUCAUUGGAGAGCAGAGAAUCAAGUGGGGCAGAGUAACAGGACACAAGCAGGGAGGGGGUAGCUGAUCCAGGGGGAUUCCUGCAGUGAGCAAGCAGCCCUGGUUGAUAGCUGAGAAGAAUAGCACUGAAAGGUCUGUGUUUAUUCUGCAGAGCCCACCUGGGAGUCACUGAGGACUCGACAGGCACCACAUGGAGUUCCCGGGAGCAGAGCAGAGCAAGGAACGAGUGGAGCUUCCCUGGAACUGGCUGUGGCCAGCACAGAGGUCGUGUGGGAAGGGCCAAGUUUCUCCUGAGACGUGAGUUCCUGAGUUGGGAGCACAGCGUUCAAAGGCAGCCAGAAUCCACAGGGAGCUGUGCCCGAGGAUCCUGCUGACCAGGAACGUUUCGAGAGGAAGGUGGUUUGCAGAGGGGAGCCAAAAGCUAUUAACUUUCUCCUGUGCUUCCAGCAGCCCGUUUGGGUUGGUUUGGUGCCUGAGCCAGGCUGCAAUUGAGGUCAGUGCUUUGGUUUCCCUUCAAGCUCCAGUUCUCUAUACACUGUUCUGUUUGUAACGUUUGCUUGACAUGACUGUCUGCUCUGGGUUGAGGGUGUUUUUUUAGAAUUCCUGUGUGUACAAAGCUAAUAAAGGAACUGUCAGCUCAGAAAGCCCCUCUUAAAAUACAGCCCUGCUGGUUUGGGGUAAGAAAUGCACAGAUCCCUUGGCCAAGCCUCCUCUGUGGAAUUUGUGAUGCUGUUGCAAUUCCUUUGGCUUCCAGUAGCCAAACAACCCCUGGGGUCAAGCAGAAGUCAAGGUAUAAAAAUGGCUGGCUGUGAGCCCCUUACCUGUCAGCUGCCACGUGUUGGAGGGAUGUGGGGACUGCAGCCCUUCUGCUCCCUCAGCUGCUGAGUGUUUGUGGGCAUAAUUCAAAUGUGUGUGUGUGUGUUUGAAUUCCAGCUUUUAUUGAUUGAAUUGGUCCCUGAUAAUAAACAGUAUAAAUAAAUCAGGUGGGAGUUAAAGCAUUGGGGAGGGGAAAAUUAAAUUCAGUGCAGUGACCUCGAACAGAGUGUAAUUUCAGAAGUGCCUUAAAUAUGCUGAUGGCAUAAAAUAAGGCUGGGGAAGUUGGAGGGGAGGGGAGAGAGAACAAAACAAAAUGAUUUGGAUUUAUCAGGAUUGCAGGCAUAUAUGGCUUAUGCAGUUUAUUGUAGGGGAGUGUCAGUCAUGAGGCCAGGGACCAAAAGUGAUUGGAGAGCCGUGGGAAUGAGGGGGAUGUGGACACAGAUCUGAGCAUGGGCAGCACCAGGGAAGGCUCUUCCUGGGAGCAAAGCAAAGAGGAAGAGGAUGGGGGGGAUACAGCCAUGCCAGCAGGAAUUACAGGGACAGUCAGGCCUUGUCAAUUGGUGUAAAACAUUAAAACAUGCAGGAAUUCUCUCGGGCUGCUUUGAUAAAGCCAAA